UAAGACGAACCGUGCGAACGUUGUUCGGAAUCACUGGGCUUAAAGGGCGCGUAGGCGGGCUGCCAAGUCUGGGGUGAAAUCCCACGGCUCAACCGUGGAACUGCCUCGGAUACUGGCGGCCUCGAGGGAGGUAGGGGCGUGCGGAACUGUGGGUGGAGCGGUGAAAUGCGUUGAUAUCCACAGGAACUCCGGUGGCGAAGGCGGCACGCUGGACCUUUUCUGACGCUGAGGCGCGAAAGCCAGGGGAGCAAACGGGAUUAGAUACCCCGGUAGUCCUGGCCCUAAACGAUGGGUACUAGGUAGUAGACUUGACAUGGGUUUACUGCCGAAGCAAAAGUGCUAAGUACCCCGCCUGGGGAGUAUGGUCGCAAGGCUG
rnacentral:rRNA from 1 species